GACGAACGCUGGCGGCGUGCUUAACACAUGCAAGUCGAACGAUGAAGCUGGAGCUUGCUCCGGUGGAUUAGUGGCGAACGGGCGGGUAACACGUGAGCAAUCUGCCCUUGACUCUGGGAUAACUGCGGGAAACUGUAGCUAAUACCGGAUACGAGGCUCGAAGGCAUCUUCGGGUCUGGAAAGAAUUUCGGUCAAGGAUGAGCUCGCGGCCUAUCAGCUUGUUGGUGAGGUAAUGGCUCACCAAGGCGACGACGGGUAGCCGGCCUGAGAGGGUGACCGGCCACACUGGGACUGAGACACGGCCCAGACUCCUACGGGAGGCAGCAGUGGGGAAUAUUGCACAAUGGGCGAAAGCCUGAUGCAGCAACGCCGCGUGAGGGAUGGAGGCCUUCGGGUUGUAAACCUCUUUUAGCAGGGAAGAAGCGAAAGUGACGGUACCUGCAGAAAAAGCACCGGCUAACUACGUGCCAGCAGCCGCGGUAA
rnacentral:rRNA from 1 species